rnacentral:rRNA from 1 species
GUAGGGAAUAUUGGGCAAUGGAGGCAACUCUGACCCAGCCAUGCCGCGUGCAGGAUGACGGCCCUCUGGGUUGUAAACUGCUUUUAUACGGGAAGAAAAAAUACUACGUGUAGUAUACUGACGGUACCGUAAGAAUAAGGAUCGGCUAACUCCGUGCCAGCAGCCGCGGUAAUACGGAGGAUCCAAGCGUUGUCCGGAUUUAUUGGGUUUAAAGGGUGCGUAGGCGGAUCUUUAAGUCAGUGGUGAAAGCCUGCAGCUUAACUGUAGAAUUGCCAUUGAAACUGAAGAUCUUGAAUGUGGUUAAAGUAGGCGGAAUGUAUCAUGUAGCGGUGAAAUGCUUAGAUAUGAUACAAAACACCGAUAGCGAAGGCAGCUUGCUGAACCAUUAUUGACGCUGAGGCACGAAAGCGUGGGGAGCGAACAGGAUUAGAAACCCUUGUAGUCC